GACGAACGCUGGCGGCGUGCCUAAUACAUGCAAGUCGAACGCAGUGGGGACGGGAGAGUAACACGUGGGUAACCUCCCAUCAGAGGGGAUAACACUUGGAAACAGGUGCUAAACCGAUACUGAUGGAUGGACCCGCAUUGGCUUAGCUAGUUGGUGAGGUAACGGCUCACCAAGGCCACGAUGCAUAGCGGAUCUGAGAGUGUGAUCAGCCACACUGGGACUUAGACACGGCCCAGACUCCUACGGGAGGCAGCAGUAGGGAAUCUUUGACAAUGGGCGAAAGUCUGACCGAGCAACGCCGCGUGAAUGAAGAAGGUUUUCGGAUCGUAAAGCUCUUUUGGUAGAGAAGCGGUAUCUAACCAGUAAGCAACGGCUAACUACGUGCCAGCAGCCGCGGUAAUAC
rnacentral:rRNA from 1 species